rnacentral:piRNA from 1 species
UGUUGUAUUUUAGGUUUCUUCUUGAAAAC